rnacentral:rRNA from 1 species
AAUAUUCCUGUACUCGGUGUUACUGCGAAGGGGGGACGGAGAAGGCUAUGUUGGCCGGGCGACGGUUGUCCCGGUUUAAGCAUGUAGGCGGAUGUUCCAGGUAAAUCCGGAGCGUCACUAACGCUGAGGUGUGAUGACGAGGCACUACGGUGCUGAAGUGACAAAUGCCCUGCUUCCAGGAAAAGCCUCUAAGCAUCAGGUAACAUCAAAUCGUACCCCAAAC